GGCUGAUUCCAGGUGCACAGUGAGGACACAGUCCCACCUUGCCGGGGGGUCUGUGGCGCAAGGGGACACACACACCAAGUGAGUGGACAGACUCCCGGCCCGGCCCCCGUCACUUCCGUGCAAGAAGCACAAGACAAGUGACCCAACGUGGCUUCUGAAUUCUCUGUCUGACACCUGCACCCACACGCCCAGCACCAGACGGAUGACAGAUCCUGCGCGGCUGCACGGACGUCUGGAAUGAAAUAACAGCUCCCAGGUGUGGUUACACCCCCAGCCACACGGACGCUCCUUUGGGGGAACCUGUCUCCGGCCCGUCACCGAGCUCGGCUCCCUGCCAGCUGACUGCCCACAUGUGGAAGACUAAAGCGCAAACUUGCCCCCGGAGUGUCCCUUCUGUGCCAACACGGGGUCGCCAGCUCACCCACCAGAGGCAUCAUCUGGGACCCUGGGGUGCUGUCACACAACCGCAGGCUGCUCACGGCCACCUGGAGGUCCGGCUGGUGGUGUUCCUGCUGCAGACCCUCCAGGACCUGCCCCUCCCUGUGGCCUGAACGGCCCUGGUCUCCCCCACCUUCCACGUCUGCUCGAGGCAGAGCUGCCCAACAGAGGUCCCCUGCCUGCUCCCUGCACUUGGGAGCGAAGACGCCCAGCGGCACGUCUGGGCUGGUACUGGACGGGGAGCAGGGUCCGGAGAGGAGAGCAGCACGCUGUCUGCCCCGGUCCCCAAGACAAGGCUGGCAUGGCCCGCCCGGCCUCGGGCCAGCGACACCCAGAGUCACCCGGAAGGGACCGGGGACGCGGUCCAGAAGGUCGGUCUGCAGGCGCGCCCGCCCCAGUGAGGGCUGAGAUCGCGACAUCGGAAUCGUACUUCUCGGUGGUGGUAUCUUCGCCGCAAGGGACUUCUCCCAGACACGCAAAUCCUGGAGCGUCUGGCUGGCAGAGGAGCAGACCUGUGGACCCAUCGGAAGGCAGAGGGCAGACCCCCAGCAGUCACCACACACAGCUGGGGACCCUGCCAGGAGCCAACGGAAGGUGGUGGCGUGUCCGUGCUCCGAGCUGGAGUCCGUCCUGUCACCAUGAAUCCAAGUCACCCAGAAGCGCUGCACACACAAGGCGGCCCCACCGACUUCAGAUCUCUUCGAGUGGCAGGGGUGAUGCUUUAACAUUUGCGGUUCGAUGGCAGGUGUCAAUUAGGACUGUGGCCCGGACCUCCCUCCAGGCGGAUGGAUCCUGACUCCGCGUGUGGUGGCCACCUGGGGACACGACAGACUGGACGCAGAACCGAAAUCCAUUCGCCUUACUGAAUUUUCUCAGAUGAGGAAACCAAGUCUCAGGAAAAUCGAAUAACUCGUCUGAGGUCAUCUGUGGCGGUGCAGCUGGCAUCCGCCGCCCCCCGGGUCUGAAGGCGCCGCCCUCCGUCCCGGCCCGCGUGCUGAACGCAUGAGACCCCGGCCCCGACGUGUUCCCAGCCCCCCGGAACGCGCCGCGCGGAGACAGCAUAUGAGCCGGGAAGAGGCAGAGAGAGAGGGA